CCUUCCCGAGGCAUUCAUUUCACCCCGUUCCCCAUUCUCCUCUUCGUCAGUUGCUCCUGGAGGCGACGACGACUUCUGGAGAGCUACAAGAAGAGAGAGACGCACUGGAGUGGUGGCGAUUGUUUGGGAGCGAGAAGGGGAGGGGGAGGAGAGGAGCAGCCAAAGCAGUUUUGAAGAGGAGGGGGCGACCAUCCUGUUUUCCCAUCGCACUAGUUUCCCAUGUUCCCCAUUCCUCCUCAACAGGCGCUCCUCCAGGCGGCGGUGAUUUCUGGAGAGCGAGAUGGGAGAGAGACGCCAUUGGAGAUGGUGUGCCCAGACUGCCAUUCGCAUUGCAAGAGUGACAACGAGCAGAGAUUUUUUGAAAUUGUCAUUCGUGAGGGCUCCAAAGCUGCCCUCACCAAGAGUGAACAUCCCAUGCACAGCCAGUUGAUAUGCCGUCGUUGCGAGUCUAUCAUUGACACACAAUUGGGUUUUUUCCACUACAAGGCGUUGUCUUAGCUGCAAGUCCACCAUCAACACACAACUGUGGGCUUCCUACACAACAACCCUCCCAGUUUGCAGGUCCAUCAUUGACAUGCAAUUGUGGGUUUUCUUUCUAGUUGUUUUUACUCUAGUUGCAAGUCUAUCAUUGACACGCACUAGGAUCUUUUUUGUAGUUAUUUUUGCAAGUUGACCCUUGACUCGCAAGGUUUUUUGUGUAGUCAUAGUCGCCCCAGUUGCAAGUAGACCAUCAACUCGCAACUAAGAUUUGUAGUUUUUUCUCUUGCCACUUGCAAGUCGACCCUUGACUCGCAACUGGUUUUUUUGUGUAAUUGUAGCCGCUCUAGUUGCAAGUCCAUCAUCGACUCGCAACUCAGACUUGUAAUUCUUUUUUCAUGCCACUUGCAAGACAAACCUCGACUUGCAAUUAGGAUUUUUUGUGUAGUUGUAGUCACGCCACUUGCAAGUCCACCAACGACUUGCAACUCGGCUCGUAGUUUUUUUCACGUUACUUGCAAGUCGACCCUCGACUUGCAACUGGGUUUUCAUGUAGUUGUAAUCGCCCCAGUUGCAAGUGCACCAUCAACUCGCAAUUCGGACCCGUGGUUCUUUGUUUCAUGCCACAUGCAAGUCGAUCCUUGACUAGCAACUAGUUUUUCUUGUAGCCAUAGUCACCCCAGUUGCAAGUCGGCCAUCAACUUGCAACUAGGCUUGUACUUUUUUGUUUCAUGCCACUUGCAAGUCGACCCUUGAUGCGCAAUUGAGGUUUUGUGUAGUUGUAAUCGCCCUAGUUCCAAGUGCACCAUCGAGUCUCAACUCGGCCUGUACUUUUUUUGUUUCAUUCUACUUGCAAGUUGACGCUCGACUCGCAAUUGGGAUAUUUUGUGUAGUUGUAGUCACGCUGGUUACAUGUUCACUAUCGACUCGCAACUUGGCUCAUGAUUUUUUUGUUUCACGUCACUUGCAAGUCGACCCUCGACUUACAACUGGGGUUUAAUGUAGUUGUAAUCGCCCCAGUUGCAAGUCCGCCAUCGACUCGCAACUCGGACCCGUAGUUUUCGUUUCAUGCCACUUGCAAGAUGCCCAUUGACUCGCAACUUGGAUUUUUUGUGUAGUUGUAGUCACGCCAGUUGCAAGUCCACCAUUCACUCGCGACUCGGCUCGUAGUAUUUUGUUUUACAUCACUUGCAUGUCGACCCUUGACUUGCAACUGGGGUUUCCAUGUAGUUGUAAUCGCCCCAGUUGCAAGUCCACCAUCAACUUGCAAAUCGGCAUGUACUUUUUGUUUCUUGCCAUUUGCAAGUUGACCCUUGACUCGCAAUUGGUUUUUUUUGUGUAGUUGUAGUUACGCCAGUUGCAAGUCGAUCAUCGACUCGCAACUCUGCUCGUAGUUUUUUGUUUCACGUCACUUGCAAGUCGAUCCACGACUUGCAACUGGGGUUUCUAUGUAGUUGUAAUUGUCCCAGUUGCAAGUCCACCAUCGACUCGCAACUCGGACCCAUAAUUCUUGUUUCAUGCCCACUUGCAAGUCGCCAUUUGACUUGCAAACUGUUUUUUUUUGUAUAGUUGUAGUCACGCCAGUUGCAAGUCUACUAACGACUCACAACUCAGCUCGCAGUUAUUGUUUCACGCCACUUGCAAGUCAACCCUCGACUUGCAACCGGGGUUUUUAUAUAGUUGUAAUCGCCCUAGUUGCAAGCCUACCAUCUACUCGCAACUCGGACCCGUAGUUCUUUGUUUCAUGUCACUUGCAAGUCGACCCUCGACUCUCAACUAGGUUUUUUUGUAGUUGUAGCCACUCUAGUUGCAAAUGCACCAUCGACUCGCAACUCGGCUUGUACUUUUUGUUUCAUGCCACUUGCAAGUUGACCCUCGACUUGCAAUUGGGGUAUUUUUUUGUAGUUGUAGUCAUGCCCUGUUGCAAGUCCACCAUCGAUUCGCAACUCGGCUUGUAGUUUUUGUUUCACGUCACUUGCAAGUCGACCCUCGACUUACAACUAGGAUUUAAUGUAGUUUAUAAUCACCCCAGUUGCAUGUCCACUAUCAACUCAGACCCGUAGUUACAUGCCACUUGCAAGUCACCCUUUGACUUGCAAACUCGUUUUUUUGUGUAGUUGUAGUCACGCCGGUUGCAAGUCCCCCAACGACUCGCAACUCGGCUCAUAGUUUUUGUUUCACGCCACUUCCAAUUCAACCCUCGACUUGCAACUGGGGUUUUCAUGUAGUUGUAAUCUUCCAGUUGCAAGUCCACCAUCGACUCGCAACUCGGACCCAUAGUUCUUUGUUUCAUGCUAUUUGCAUGUCGACCCCUAACUCGUAACUGGUUUUUAGUAGUCAAAGUCGCCCUAGUUGCAGUCGACCAUCAACUUGCAAGGCUUAUACUUGUUGUUUCGUGUCACUUGCAAGUCGACCCUCGAUGUGUUAUUGGGGUUAUUGUGUAGUUGUAAUCGCCCCAGUUGCAAGUACACCAUCGACUCGCAACUCGGCCCUAUACUUUUUUGUUUCGUGCCACUUGCAAGUUGACCUUCAACGCGCGAUUGUUUUUUUUUUGUAGUUGUAGUAACGCCAGUUGCAAGUCCAUCAUCGACUCGCAACUCGGCUCGUAGUUUUUUGUUUCACGUCACUUGCAAGUCGACCCUUGACUUGGGGGUCAAAAUGUUGAGAUAGAUGGGGUUCAUAUCUACUUGAUACAAAGAGAAUACAAUUUAUAAUUUUUCUUCCCAAGCACUUUACUCAUUUUAUUUGGUCCAAAAGAAUAACCAACUUAAAUCUUUGUUUCUACUGGACAAAAGGGAUAACAUGUUGACCACCAAGUGGAAUUUAUUUGUUAGUCAGUAAGAGGAUUUGAUGGUGUUGCAAACUCAUGACCCUGAGAGGCGAAUGAGUAAGGUGGAAUCAUCUGCAGAAAUUGGUGUCCAUUGUUUUGCAUUUGAAAAAGCCUCAGGUCAAACACCACUGUUGGGUACUGGGAUGCACAGGCUACAAUCAAAACAAAGCAGUAAGUUCAUCUCAUGUUUUUUCCUGUCAUUUUUGUUUUUAUGGUCCCAUGUGUAUUUAUGAAUCAAUAUUGAUUUCUUUUUCUUUUUUCCCAAAUCAUACCUGAGUUCCAACGUAGUCCCCUGCAUAGCUAUCUUCAUUUCCCGCGGUCAUCAGGUACCAACACUUUUUUUGUGAACAUGCAUAAUACACUGAGAUGCAGUCAAAUUCUAAGUUCUUUCUUGGAUGAAAAAUUCUAAAUUCAGAGUCAGCACUUUUUAUUUUGUUCUCUAACAAGAGACCAGGACCAUCAUAUGUUUGAUGGAAGAAGAAAGGAUAAUCUUGAGCAAAAAAUAAAGGUCUACCAUCAGAAAUUAUCUACAAGGUUGUACACGAUCUUGACAGAAAGGAUCUACAAAGAGGGUCCAAAUUUUGACUUGGGUUUUUGCAACUUUUCGUCAGCCACCUAAGCUUCUUUUGCACCUGUUUUUUUUCUCUGCCAACAAGGCCCAGCUCUGUGCGCACAUUGCUCUUUUUUUUGUCAAACAAACAAAUAGACAAAUAAAGCCCAAGAAACAAGGUCCGGGGGAGGGGCUAGUUCGGCUGGGUGGGGUGGACUGGCCAGACACAAACAAACAAUACAAACAAGCGUCUAUAUGUGUGAGGGUAAUCGGGUGCAAUCAGGCUGGUUGUUUGAUUAGAGAAUGAUGUCAGCUUAGAUGUGAGAUAAUAUCUCACAUCUAGAUGCAACAUAGACAGACCCAUUCCCUUAACCACCUAAUUAGAAGUUAAUAAAAUUGUUUAGUUGAGUAACUAAAAAAUGACAUGUGGACCCAUUUCACUUAAAAGCCUGUUUAAAAAUAUCUAAGUCAAUGACAUGUGCCCCCCACUUAUUCUAUUAAAUUAAUUCAACUGUUAAUUUACCCUGUCUCUAUGACAGCUCAGUCCCACAAGCUAGUUUGAUCAGUCAAUGUUGACCUAGUCAACUGCUGACUGGAAUACUGAUUUUGACCCUAACCCCACCUGUCAUACACUAUGGCUGGCACUGCAUUAUGUGGAA